GCAAGCUGGGGCUCCGGCAGAGCUCUGGGAGUCCAGCUGGGAUCCGAGUGCGAGCUCCGGUUGUGGGUCCAGAGGGACAGGGAGCCCGAGAGGCAGGACCAUGCAGCUGCCGCUAGUUCUUCUCCUUCUCAGCCUCCCAGGUUGCCUCUCCAUCCAAGGCCCAGAGUCCGUGAGGGGCUUAGAGGGCGGAUCUGUGACUGUGCGGUGUGACUAUAAACCAAGAUGGGAGACCUAUGGGAAGUGGUGGUGUCGUGGAGCAUACUGGGAGUUGUGCAGGACCCUCGUUCGAACCACAGGAUCACAGCUAGAAGUGAAGGGAGACCGUGUGUCCAUUGGGGACAACCAGAGUCACCACUUCCUCACAGUGACCAUGGAGAAAGUCAGGCAAGAUGACACAGACACUUACUGGUGCGGGAUCAGCAAGAGUGGACCUGACCUCGGGGCACCUAUCAGAGUGACCAUUGAGCCAGAGGGAACACUUCUGACCACCUUGGCGAGCAUGCUAUCCAGGAGAACCACCAAUGGCCGUGCAGGGGUGUCGUCUGUCUCCUACAGCAGGAACCGCUACAUCCUUCUGGUGUUCGUGAAGGUGCCCAUCUUGCUCAUAUUGGUUGGUGUUGUCCUUUGGUUGAAGGGCCUCAGUAACGACAGUCUGUCUACAUGAACUUGUCCUUGAUCUUCUCACCAAAGACACAGCCGCUCAGAAAGACGGAUGAACAGAACCUUCUGACCCCUGGACCCCAUUUCCAGAGGAGACGUGGGCUGUGGAAGAAAUGCCUCUGAGUCCUUAGGACGCGGUGACUGAGGCUGGGGGUGCUAAGCUUACCGGUCUGGCUUGUUCCACCUGCCUUGGGCUUCCAGAUCCUCAUGGCUGGUCUCCUUAUGUGCCCCCUGCACCCCAGCCUGGCUGUCUGGAAGUCAAGUCUCCACCGAGAAUGGGGUCCAGAUUCAGCCCCAACAGCUCUCCUGGGCUCCUCCUAAACCCAUGCCGUGGAGGCUAACAGCGAAGAGGCCUGGGGGCUGGGCUUCCUCUGGGCACCACUGUCUCAUCUCAUCUUGCUGGAAGGGGACCCUGAAUUCCUCCACCCCAGGUCCUAAUUUGCUGGUCAUCUUUCUUCAAAUCUUUUCUUAGCUUAGGAACAUCAGACCUACAGCUCCCUGCCCACGUCCUGCUCUGCCAGCUCCAACAGAGGUCAUGAAUCACCCUUGAAUCUGUGCAGCCCCAAGACUGGGGCCAACUCAUCAUGGCCAGGACAGAAGGUGUCCUGAGGGUAGAGGUCAGCCUCAGUCCCCGAGAGAUGGGACCACCGUGCAGUGGGGAGCUGCAGAGAUGACUUUGGGGGAAUGAGGGCCAAGGCUACUGUUCCUGCUGAAAACAUGGGUCUGGGGCCAGGUCUGAUCCUCAUGCCCUCAUUUAUUCAUCCACUCAUUCACUCAUUCAUUCAUUCAUUCAUACAUUCAACAAAUGCAACUAAAUUACCUACUGACUCCAGGCACCGUUUUCAGGGCACAUUGACUAUUGUAUGAAUGAGGGGAGCCCCCCGGAUGUCUCCUCCUGUACAUUUGGCUUGAAAUGCAAGAACCUGACCUCAUAUCAAUUGCCCCCCUUUUAUCACUGAAUAGAAAGGUUUCAGGUGACAAGGUAAAUCAUGGGUUCUCCUCUGGCAGCCACCAUUGGAGAUGAUUUAGAAAGCACAGCUUGGGAUUCAAACAGUAAUGAGAUACUACUACCCAC